rnacentral:lncRNA from 1 species
AUGCCGCCGGCUCCCCGCAGGAGCCCCCCGAGGUCGGGCCGGGACUCGGCGCCUCUGUCGCGCACACGAGGGCGUCCCCGGUCACCGGGGAGGCGCGCGCUCCUCCAGUCCGCGGGCGGGGCGCACCCCUGCCGGCCCCGGCGAGAGCCCGGCCCAGGCUCCGAGCCCCUGGGCGCCCGGGAGGCGUCUGGAGCGUCCCGCAGCGGAGCCCCUGGGCCGGCGACGGCCCUCAGACGCCACGGCCGGGCGGGGCCCCGUGGGGAGGCCGGGCAGGUCCCGGGGAGGGCGCCGGAGCCGGUCCUGCGGCAGCUCCUUUCCUGCCCCCUCCGCCCUCCCCGGCCCGGCCUCCCGCGGCCUCCGCUCCGCGCGCAGCCUCUCAGGCCUCUUCCCCUGGCUCCCCCACGCACCACUGUCUCUCCUCACACUCCGCCUCCGCUCUCACACCCGCCUCUCCUCUCCUCAAACCCCGCCUCUCCUCUCCCCACACCUCGCCUCUCCUCUCCCCGCACACCCUGCCCCUCCUCUCCUUACACACCCGCCUCUCCUCUCCCCACACCCCGCCUGUCCUCUCCCCACACCCCGCCUCUGCUCUCCGCACACCCCGCCUCUCCUCUCCUCUCCCCCGACCCCUGGCUCUCCUCUCCUCUCCCCACCCCUUCCUCUCCUCUUCUCUCCUCUCCUCUACACACCUGGCCUCUGCUCCCCUCCCCGCCGCCUCCUCCCCGGCCUCCCGCCUCCGUCUUCGCCUGGGGUAGUUGCCCCUUUGAAGCCCCCGCCGGCUUCGCGGCGUCCUCAGCGCUCCCACCACGCGCGGAGCUGCCCUCGGGCCCCUCGGUUUCAGCUCCUUUUCAUCCUUUCCUUCUCAACUUGAUUAAAACCAGCGGAGAAACCGACGUCAGGGGGCGGGGUCAUGUUCGAGGGGGCGGAGCCUACGCUCUGGGGCCGCCCCGCCCCGCCCCGCCCUUCCCCGGCCCGGGCCCCUUUGUGCUGGAGGGCGGGGGCGAGGUCCUAUGGCUGAGGGGGCGGAGCCUAUGCUCAGGAAGGAAGCGAAGCCCCGCCCCGCCCCGUCCGGUCCUCGGCCCCUUUGGGCAGGCGCGCGGGGACACGGCCCGGGCUGUUUCUGCGAGGCCGUGCGUGGCCAGCCGUCCUGAGCCCACAAAGCGACCAGGUGUGUCUCCCAGAUUUAGCAGAGAUGUCUCAGAAAGCGUUGGCUGGAGAAGUCCUUCUGUCUGGGGCAGACGCGCCCGGGCUGCUCCCAGGCCUCCUCUGAGGACAGGCUUGGGGAGCGGGCAGCGUGGGCACCACAUAGGAGGCUCUCGGUGCCCAGGAAGCACAGGGGCAGCGUCUGCCUCCCGGACGCCUGGACGCUGCGGGGGAGCGCCUUCUGCCCAUUGGAGGUUAGAGGAGAUGGGGUGGUGUCCUGAGCGCCAGGCUUCCCCAGGGCGUCCCUCAGAGCCUCAGCGCCUCCUCCCCUGGUUCUCAGCUGCCCGGCCAACUCGGGAUGCAGGGGCCUUGUGGCAGGGGCAGGGGGGCUAG